ACACGGUUUCCAUAUGAUCACCGAAGUUAAGCAACAUUGUGCCUGGGCAGCACCUAGAUGGUUGAUUGCUUGGGAAUACCAGGUGCUGUAAG